UUUGACUUUCUUUCUCAUUACUUAUUAUUUUCGUAUUAUUAUGGCGGGAAUAAAAAGAAACAAUUUCGAAAUC
rnacentral:tRNA from 1 species